GCGCCCGUAGCUCAGUGGAUAGAGCGUCUGCCUCCGGAGCAGAAGGUCGGGGGUUCGAGUCCCUUCGGGCGCA
rnacentral:tRNA from 2 species